rnacentral:lncRNA from 1 species
UGUCGCUUCGCGGCUCGGUGGCUGCCCGCGGCCCGCCCGGCCUCCCGCCCGCUGCCCGCCGGCCGCUCUCCCCGUGGCCCGGCCCGGCCCGGCUGCCUGUGCGUCUUCGUCGUGCUCUGCUCCGUCCCCGCCGCCCUCGCCGCGGUCGCCGCGCCGGCUCCUGCCGCCCGGGCCUCGUCGCCUCUCGCGCCGCUGCCGACGCCGCCCGGAGCUCCGGUUCCGCAGCGCCGCGCGGG